AGAACUCCAUCUAAUACAGAUUUUGGUAACAGAAGUAGUUCUAGAGCAGCAGAAGUCUAAGAAUGAAUUUUUAAUUAUAUAUAAUAGGCUUAUUAAACAAAUGCAAACCUACACCAUCUGCUUGCUUUCAUGAUGAACCUGGCCCUGCCUGAGUCUGAAAUGUAUGGGACAUCUGCUUCCCACAGAAUAUUUGAGGUUGUUGUUCUACGAAAAGGAGCUUGGGAAAGUUUUGGAAAGCCAAAUCCCAAAGUUGAAUGUGGAAAUCGUGCCCGCUUCUGUGUUGUUCUCUAUGAAGCUCUCGGGAUACAAGUUGGUUAGAGUGAGAAGAAAUACUGACCCGCAGAUGACAUUUCAGGAACAUUGAAGACUGGAAGCUACACGUACAAGUAGAAUCAGUAAUUAUAGACAAUGAGAUUCAGUCUGGAAGAAGAAGACAACACAAUAUAAUUAAAGAGACACUUGAGAUUUCAUCAGCCCUCAACUAGAGACUGCACCAAAUAUCUAGUUGUAGGAACAACCACAAAUGUGGAGUUGAACUAUCUUUCUUAGCAGCUUGGGCCUUUGCUUUGUAUUACUUCUUUUUACUUAUCCUUAUUAAUUUUAGAGGUGGGGGAGACGUCACUGGGAACCCAUGCUCGGCCCUUUCACACUGGAGACGAGAGCUCUGCCAGGAGUGGUGUAGUGAUCUUAUCUUUACAGGUAAAACUUCGUUGGAUCAGUAUUUCUAUUUUCCUAAGGUGACUGGAUUUAGAAACAAAACAAGACAAAACACUACUUUUGCUCUGAGAAAAUACUUUCUGUUGAGGAAGUCCCAUUUGAGAAUACAAGAUAUGGGGCUAGAAUGAUGACUCAGCAAAUAAGAACACUGACUGCUAUUCCGAAGGUCCUGAGUUCAAAUCCCAGCACCCACAUG